rnacentral:rRNA from 1 species
CCUACGGUGGCAGCAGUGGGGAAUAUUGCACAAUGGGCGCAAGCCUGAUGCAGCCAUGCCGCGUGUGUGAAGAAGGCCUUCGGGUUGUAAAGCACUUUCAGCGGGGAGGAAGGCGGUGAGGUUAAUAACCUCAUCGAUUGACGUUACCCGCAGAAGAAGCACCGGCAACUCCGUGCCAGCAGCCGCGGUAAUACGGAGGGUGCAAGCGUUAAUCGGAAUUACUGGGCGUAAAGCGCACGCAGGCGGUCUGUCAAGUCGGAUGUGAAAUCCCCGGGCUCAACCUGGGAACUGCAUUCGAAACUGGCAGGCUAGAGUCUUGUAGAGGGGGGUAGAAUUCCAGGUGUAGCGGUGAAAUGCGUAGAGAUCUGGAGGAAUACCGGUGGCGAAGGCGGCCCCCUGGACAAAGACUGACGCUCAGGUGCGAAAGCGUGGGGAGCAAACAGGAUUAGAUACCCUUGUAGUC